GAGUAAUGUCUGGGAAACUGCCUGAUGGAGGGGGAUAACUACUGGAAACGGUGGCUAAUACCGCAUAACGUCGCAAGACCAAAGAGGGGGACCUUCGGGCCUCUUGCCAUCAGAUGUGCCCAGAUGGGAUUAGCUUGUUGGUGAGGUAACGGCUCACCAAGGCGACGAUCCCUAGCUGGUCUGAGAGGAUGACCAGCCACACUGGAACUGAGACACGGUCCAGACUCCUACGGGAGGCAGCAGUGGGGAAUAUUGCACAAUGGGCGCAAGCCUGAUGCAGCCAUGCCGCGUGUAUGAAGAAGGCCUUCGGGUUGUAAAGUACUUUCAGCGGGGAGGAAGGUGUUGUGGUUAAUAACCGCAGCAAUUGACGUUACCCGCAGAAGAAGCACCGGCUAACUCCGUGCCAGCAGCCGCGGUAAUACGGAGGGUGCAAGCGUUAAUCGGAAUUACUGGGCGUAAAGCGCACGCAGGCGGUCUGUCAAGUCGGAUGUGAAAUCCCCGGGCUCAACCUGGGAACUGCAUUCGAAACUGGCAGGCUUGAGUCUUGUAGAGGGGGGUAGAAUUCCAGGUGUAGCGGUGAAAUGCGUAGAGAUCUGGAGGAAUACCGGUGGCGAAGGCGGCCCCCUGGACAAAGACUGACGCUCAGGUGCGAAAGCGUGGGGAGCAAACAGGAUUAGAUACCCUGGUAGUCCACGCCGUAAACGAUGUCUACUUGGAGGUUGUGCCCUUGAGGCGUGGCUUCCGGAGCUAACGCGUUAAGUAGACCGCCUGGGGAGUACGGCCGCAAGGUUAAAACUCAAAUGAAUUGACGGGGGCCCGCACAAGCGGUGGAGCAUGUGGUUUAAUUCGAUGCAACGCGAAGAACCUUACCUGGUCUUGACAUCCACGGAAGAAUUCAGAGAUGGAUUUGUGCCUUCGGGAACCGUGAGACAGGUGCUGCAUGGCUGUCGUCAGCUCGUGUUGUGAAAUGUUGGGUUAAGUCCCGCAACGAGCGCAACCCUUAUCCU
rnacentral:rRNA from 1 species